GCCGAGGAACGGAAGGCCCGCCCCCUUAGCGGGGAAGGGGCGGGGCGUUGUGGGAGGUCCCGCCCCACUCCCUGACUGCCCCCGCGGGUCGCUUAGGCGUGAGCUGCCCGCCGCCUCCGCGCGCUGCGACUUUGCUUUGGGUGGCGUGUUUCCCCAGGCGGCGGCUGCGGGUCCCACCGCUGAGGAUGCCGGGAGAGCGAGGAUGCGGCCUCCCCCGCCCCCCUCGCGUGGUCUCCUCAGAGCUUACCGACCCUCCCCUAGGGUGCCGGGGAGGGACUCUGAGGAAAAAGUUUGGGGGCUUGCCUUAGAAGGGUGUCAGGACCACCCCUCACCACCCGCACCGGCCUAGCGGGCCCGGGGUUAUGCCUGGGGACAGCAGCACGUCUGCCCAGCGGGCAGCGCCUGAAGAGCUGUCCAUGGUGUCUCACGGCGUCUGGCUUCUUUUCAGAGACAGAUACAGAUCUUCCUAUCAAGAUCUGCAAAGAUCCAUUAUAAAGGCAUGGAUGACUCCUUGUGAAAGAGAAAACAAUGGUCUUGAAGAGCAACACAAUGAUUCCUGAAAAUUCUGGGCCAGUUCGGGGUGAUGAGGUCAUCACUGCAGACAACUCUGUUCAAGUCAACUGCAACCUUGUGAGAGAUGACAUGGAACAUACCUGUUUUCCUGACACUAGGAAGCUGGUGUGGUCAAC